rnacentral:rRNA from 1 species
CUUGGUCAUUUAGAGGAAGUAAAAGUCGUAACAAGGUUUCCGUAGGUGAACCUGCGGAAGGAUCAUUACAGAAAGUAAACGCGGAUCACACCGCGAACUUCUAAACCUUUGACGAUUGACUCAUGUUGCCUCGGCGGGUUCUCCCGCCAGAGGAUACAUUAAAACUCCUGUUUUAACGGUGUUGUCUGAGCUACAAGCAACGAAUCAAAACUUUCAACAACGGAUCUCUUGGUUCUGGCAUCGAUGAAGAACGCAGCGAAAUGCGAUAAGUAGUGUGAAUUGCAGAAUUCAGUGAAUCAUCGAAUCUUUGAACGCACAUUGCGCCCCUUGGUAUCCCGAGGGGCAUGCCUGUUCGAGCGUCAUUUCACCACCCAAGCCUGGCUUGGUGUUGGGCGACGUCCCCUUCAGGGACGCGCCUCGAAACGCUCGGCGGCGUGGCACCGGCUUUAAGCGUAGCAGAAUCUUUCGCUUCAAAAGUCGGGGCCCCGUCUGCCGGAAGACCUACUCGCAAGGUUGACCUCGGAUCAGGCAGGGAUACCCGCUGAACUUAAGCAUAUCAAUAAGCGGAGGA